UCCGACGUUUCGCCAUGAAACUGUCAGUGGGUCCUGCCCGCGAAUAACAUAAUCUAAUAUUUGGAAUUUUAUAUUCUAAGCAACGAGCCUACCAACCAAGCUACCGAUCCAACCUACGCGUUAAGAUUGAAUCUGCAGCGUAAUUGCUGACCACGGUAAAACAGCCGAUUCACUCGGGGCGAUUCUCCGAGAGCGAGAGAAGUUAGGACGGUGGAAGCUCGCGACCAAAGAAACUGGAACGAGUUUAAUUUGCAUAUCUUCCGAAUGCACAAACAACUCGGUCAGGCGACACGUAACGAAAUUUUAUAUUUCAGCUGUAAUAGAGAGAAAGAGAGAGAAAACUUUUUCUUUAGCGAUGUUCUCGGCUUCGUCGAAAUUCCACCGCGACAAAAUAUUCGCAGGGCCACGGUCUUCACGCUUCGCGACUGCUUUACACUUUCAACCGAAUGAAAGAAACAAGCGAGGAAGAAUCGUGGGACGACCCGGGAGAGACCGGGGAAAGACGAAGAAAACGUGGUUACGAGGGUUGUUAUUAGCGGUACGCAAAGGUUUCCAUCGUUUUCAAGGCAAUUUUCUUUAUUAACAUUCUCGUGAUAUCCAAUUAUUUAUCAGAACGAUGAAAUAACUCGACUACUUUUUAUAGCGAUUUAAGCGCGCCUUCCAUACCUCCUUUCGCUUGAUGCAUAUUUCUCCGACGAAACGAACAUUUUUUCCGGUACAGAGUAGUCUUUCCUUCGCGACAAAUACACUGAACGCGCGAUAAACAGCGAAGAUGGUAAUUGAAACGGUUGCGCCAGAAACUCCUGCUGUCCAAUUAUCUCUAAGAAUUUUUUCUUCGCGAGAACAGAUUUUUAAUUCGUCGACGAAAGGGAUCGUUUAU